UACUUUCUUAUCAUGCGCACCCUUGAGCUCCCCAAACCUUUCCCUUUUCCUAGAAUUUGCCUUCCAAAAUCCUCACAGGUUCGCAGCUUUCAUUUCUCAUGCCAUAAGCGUUAUUUUGCAGAGUUCGAUCGGUUACUACUUUGUUUCCUGCUGGAGAUCACGCUUGGGCAUCAUCAUCAUAUGAGGAAUGGAGUUCGUGGGCAGGACUUUGAAGAAGCGAUUUCGAGGGUUUGGGACUUUCUGUGGCGUUGUGGAAUCUUAUGACUCUUCUUCUGAGCUCUUCAGGAUUAUUUAUGAAGAUGGUGAUUCUGAGGAGAUGGAGCUCGGCGAGGUUGACUCAAUUUUGAAGGGAAUCGACAUGGGCGAAGCUGAUGAACCCGUAGAGAAGAAAAGGCGUGGGCGGAAACCGAAGAAACAGCGUCGGAUAGACGAUGGAGGUGCUGUUCGUGAUGGUUCAGGUAAUUCUGCUGAUAGUUUAGUGAAUGAUUGUUGUUCUGGGGAGGGUUCUGAAGAUAAUAUUAUCAGAGAUGAUUUGGGUCGUGGAGGGUUUUCAGGGAAGUUAGAGAAGGAAUGUGGGUUGGGUGGGAAUUUGGGGGAGAGUGCUUUUGCCAACGGGGUUUUAAGUGAAAGAGUUUGUUCUGAUGGGUUGAAUCCGAAUGUUUCUUUUGAUGAAAAUUUGAAGAAAAAUGUUUAUUCUGAUGAGAACUGGAAGGGAAGUGAUCCUGCUGAAUCUGUGGACAGAACCCAGAAGGUAAGAUUUGCUUUUGAUUUGAAUAGUGACUCUCAUGAAGAAACUGAGGUGGAUUUGAAUAGUAGCUCUCUUGAAGAAGCUAAAAUGGAGAAUAAUAUUUCUGGAGGAAAUUUGAAGAAUAGUACUUCUUUUGAGACAACUGAAGCAACCCAGAUGAGGAAUUUUGAUGCUGAUGGGAAUCCUAAAGAAAAAACUUCACUCGGAGCUGCUGAAGAAACCCAAAUGGAAGGUGGUAUUUCAAAUGGAAGUUUGAAGGACGAAAUUUGCGGAGCUACCAAAGAAACCCAAGUGAAGUAUCGGACUGGUUUUGGGGACCACAUGAUGGGCAAUGCUUGUUUAGGGAUGGAUGAAAGAGUUCAGAAGGAAGUUGCUGAUUUUGGUGGGAAAUUGGAAAGGAAUGCUUUGCCGGAAGGUUUAGAAUCCACCUUGGGAAAGGAAAUUACUUUUUCCAUGCUUCAAUUGGAGGAUCCCAGUUCUCAUGCAGAUUUUGCAAAGAAGGGGAUUGGAAAUGAUUUAGGUUGUCCAAAUAAGGAGGAACGUAGUAAUAAGAGAAGAAGGCUCUCUGAAAAUUUUAAGCCUACGACAGAGACUGUGUUGAGACGGAGUACCCGCAGAGCAACAGUUGUUUUCUCUUCUACGAAUUGUGUCUUAAGCACGGAAGAAUCCCAUGAAACCAAUGUCCCUGUGGUUAAUAGUGUAUCGGAUGGGAAACCAGUUGGUCCCGAUUGUGGUGGACUUGAAGAGCCAAGCCGUCUUCUGCCUAAGCUGGCGCUGCCCCAUUCAUCAGAAAGCUUGAAUUUAGAUGGGAUUCCUAUUCUAGAUCUUUUCUCUGUUUACUCCUGUUUGAGGUCAUUCAGUGCCUUAUUAUUUUUGAGUCCCUUUGACUUGGAAGUUUUUGCAGCAGCAGUAAAAUGCAAAUUUGCUAAUUCUCUAAUUGAUUUCAUUCACUUUUCUAUCUUGCACACUCUGAAACUGCAUUUGGAGUUUCUUUCUAGUGAGGGCUCUGAAUCUGCUUCUGCUUGCCUGAGGGAUCUUAACUGGGGAUUACUGGACCUAAUUACAUGGCCUGUUUUUCUGGUUGAGUACCUACUGAUUCAUGGUUCAGGAUUAAAGCCUGGUUUUGAUCUUUGUCAAUUGAAGCUCUUAGAUGGUGACUACUAUAAACAGCCUGCAGCUGUAAAGAUUGAGGUACUUAGGUGUUUAUGUGAUGAUGUCAUAGAGGCGGAAACCAUAAGGUUGGAGCUCAAUAGAAGAACUCUGUUAUCUCAGCUUGAUAUGGAUAUCGACAGGAAUGCAAGUUUUGAGGUUUACAAGAAAAGGAAGGACCCAGUGGAUGAUUCAGGUGGUUCUUGCUUGACUCAGGAGAUGGUUGAUGACACCAAUGACUGGAAUAGUGAUGAAUGUUGUCUCUGUAAGAUGGAUGGGAGCUUAAUAUGCUGUGAUGGUUGCCCUGCUGCUUAUCAUUCAAGAUGUGUAGGAAUUGCAAAGGAUCUUCUGCCGGAGGGUGAGUGGUACUGCCCUGAGUGUGUGGUAGGCAAACGUGACCUCCAGAGGAAGUCACCAAGAUCUCUCCGUGGAGCGGAACUUCUGGGAGUUGAUUCUUAUGGACGGGUAUAUUUUGGCAGCUGUGGCUACCUGCUGGUGUCUGAUUCAUGUGACAUGGACUGUUCAUACUAUUACUACCACAGGAAUGAUUUGGGUGCCGUUAUUGAAGUCCUUAAGUCAUCAGAAAGUCUUUAUAGUGAAAUAAUAAGAGCAAUUUCCAUGCAUUGGGACAUUCCUUUUGUUUUAAGUGGAAUUAAAGAUCACUCAGACUUGCAAACUCUUGCUGUAUGUACAGAUGUGGAUAUGGAGGAGGCUAAAGUCUCGGCUCUCCAUUUGUCCUCAACUAUGUGUGUUUCAGAUAUCGAAGAAGUUAAGAAAGAGGGUAUUGAUGAAAGGGAGCCAAAUGGAAAUGGCAUUACUACUGAAGGCUUUGGUCAGCUCAUUUCGGAGUCUGUUAGCCGGGUUGAUUCAGUAACCAUGAACCAGUUUAUAAAGAUGGCAAAUCCAUUUGCAAGCUCCGAGGGCUCUGCAGAUAUUUCACAAGCUGCUGCAGGCAUUCAGGUGUCUGAUAAACCUGAAGUAGAUUGCUCAGAUAAAUCUGUUUCAACUCCAGUUGGAUUUGAAAUCCCAGAAAAGCUCCACUUUGCUCUUGGAACACUUGCAUUGCAACAUGUUGACCAUAUUAAACAAGAGACCAAUUUGGAAUCUACAGGCCAUGGAUGUACAUCAUCCCUAAUUAAUCAAAAAGAAGGGAUGGUAGCUCAAAUGGGGUAUGAACCUGGUUGUUAUGUUAACUAUUACAGUUUUGCUCAGAUAGCAGCGUCUGUUGCUGAAGAGCUAAUGUGUAAACCAGCAAACAAUAUAAAUGAUGACCCUAAAGGAUCUGCCGAGGAAAUAAUUUCUGCACAGUUGAAGAUCAUUUCUAAGAAGUCAUUAAAAUUUUGUUGGUCAAAUAUUGUGCGGUUAUAUAUAAAUGGACUGAAAGAAAAAUGUGGGUGGUGCUUCUCUUGCAAAAAUUCCUCUGAAGGUGGGGAUUGCUUAUUUAACAUGAAUGCUCCUGAAAGUCAUAAAACUGAGGCAGUCGGUCUUUGUUCUAAGAGAAACAGGAAAAGCCAUCUAAUUGAUCUCAUAUGUCAAAUUCUCUCCAUUGAAGAACGCUUGCGUGGGCUUCUAUCAGGUCCAUGGCAGAGUCCGCAUCAUAUUAAGCUGUGGCGUAAAAGUGUUCUUAAAGCAUGCAAUGUUGCAUCACUGAAACAUCUGCUGCUCACUUUGGAGUCAAAUUUACGACGGAUUGCACUUUCAGUGGAGUGGUCAAAACAGGUGGAUUCUGUUGCGACAAUGGGUUCAGCUUCACAUGUUUUGGCAACUUCAGUUAAUGUGUCCUUGAAGCAAGGGAUCAGCAGAAAACGAGCCAGAAUUUUGGAUGCUGAUUCCAACUCUUAUUCCAUUGCUGCUGCCAAGUCGGAUUUCUGGUGGAGGGGAGGAAAGCUUUCACGCCAAGCUUUCAGUUGGAAGGUCUUGCCUCGUUCCUUGGCUUCCAAGGGAGGCCGACAAGCUGGCUGUAAGAAGAUACCGGGAAUAUAUUAUGCUGAUGGUUCAGAGUUAGCUAAGCGAAGUAGAUAUAUUGCUUGGCGGGCUGCUCUCGAGAUGUCGACAAGUGUCCCACAGCUUGCUUUGCUGGUUAGAGAGCUUGACUCGCAUAUUAAAUGGGAUGAGCUUGAGAACAAUCAAAUUCUUUCUCAGUUGUCCAAGGAAUAUAGAAAAUUAAUGAGGUCAUUCAAGAAGGUGACUAUACGCAGGAAGUGUGUGGAAGGAUCACAGGUGAAAUAUCUUUUAGAUUUUGGCAAGAGAAAAACUAUUCCUGAAACUGUGAUCAGACAUGGAACCAUGCUUGAAAUAUCCUCUAGUGAAAGGAAGAAAUAUUGGCUAGAUGAGUCUCAUGUUCCUUUGAAUCUCUUGAGGGCUUUUGAAGAAAGAAAACUAGUUUGCAAGGCCAAUAAGAAGAGUCCAGAAAAGCUUUCUGAUGAAGGUGGCAGAGUGAUGAAGGCCUCCAAAAAGAGGGGACUUUCAUACCUUCUAUCGAAAUGUGAAGUUCCUGAGAACCACCAGUGUGGGUACUGUAACAAAGAUCUACCAGUCGGGGAAGCUGUAAAUUGCCAAUGCUGCAAAGGAUUUUUCCAUAAAAGGCAUGUCAGGAAGUCUGAUGGGUCCAUUACUGCUGAUUGUAUGUAUACGUGCCACAAAUGUCAGGAUGGGAAGUUGAAACAGACAAAGAUUAAAAUGGAGAAGGGGAAAAAGAGAUCACAAAAGGGUAAAAAGGCCCCCAAAGGUGGACUGCUGGUACAGUCACAAGACAGUAAGAAAGCCACCACAGAGGGGCGGGUGCUACGACCACGGAACAGUAAGAAAGUUACCAUAGAUGCAAGGCCAGUUCGAUCUCAAAACAGUAGAAAAUUCUUCACAAAUAGAUCUCCUGUAGAUUCACGUAAUAGUAAAAAGGCCUUGACAGACAGACAGCUGCGGUCAGGAAAAAACAAAAAAGUCAUGAGAGUUGGACGGCCAAAACGUGCAGUUAAGAAAGUGAAAUAUGCAUCAAUGCAAAAUAAAAAGCUCAUUGGACGCAAGAAAGGGAAACGUGUCCAAUCUCUAAAUGGGAUAUCCAUUAAGUCUGGGAAAGGAAUUUGUUGGCACAAGAGGAAGAGAACGAAGGUUUAUCAUGCCUACUGGAUAAAUGGUCUUCGGUUAUCUCAUAAAUUGAAUGAUGAACGUUCAAUUCUUUUUAAAGAAAGAAAACUUAUUCUUCCAUCCCAAAUCUCAAGUACUGGCAAUAUGCAAUACAAAUGCUGUCUUUGUGGCGAAGGAGAAUAUACAUCCACAAUAGUCUAUAUUGGUUGUGAAAGCUGUGAAGAUUGGUUUCAUGGAGAUGCCUUUGGGCUUACUGUUGAAAAACUUGGCAGUAUUCUUGGGUUCAGGUGCCACAGAUGCCGUCAGAGAAAUCCACCCUUGUGCCCACAUUUGCAAGAUCCAAUGGUUCAAGUACAUGAAGGUAGAAAAGAAGCAGAGAUGCAACAUGAUAAGGAUGUAUCUAGCAUUGAAUUUUCCCCAAUUGGGAGAGAUGACGAAGUGAAACCACCUCACGAAAAGUCUCUGGGUUUGUUACAUAUGCAAACAUCUAUUCAUGAGCUGAAAGCAGAUGCAAUUGUGGAUUCUGAUCUGAUUAUUGUGAUGGAUUGUUCGGUGGAAUCAAAAGGAGGGCAUGCAUUUGCCAAAAAUGACCAGAAAGAUGAAAUUCUAGAUUCUAAGGAUAUGGAGCAGAAAGUAGAUGCUGACCCUGAUUCUAAUCAGACUCCUGUGUUGGAGUGUAAAACUGAAUCAGAAAAAACAGAUGUUUCUGAUGAAUUUCUUGUCAGAGAAGGGCAACCACCUUGCAACUUUGGUGAGAAUGUAAUAGAAAAAGAAGGAGAAUCAUUGGGAAAGAAGGUGGAAGCAGUUUUUGUGGAGAUGACAGCCAUAUCAGAGAUGAUGCUGGUGGCUGGAACUCGUGGUGACUCCAUUGAGUUGCAAGAGCAGAAAGCAGACGCUGUUACAGAUUCUAAUCGGACUCUGUUAUGGGAAUGUGAAGUUGAAUCAGAAAAACAGCAUAUUGUUUCUGGUGAAUUUCUUGUUAGAGAAGGUUAUCCAUCUUGCAAAUCUGAUGAGGUUAUAACAUUAGGCGCAUCUUUAGAAAAUAAUGAGAUGGAAGAUGAUUCAGAAGAGAUAAUAGGCAGCCCAGAAAAAGUGCCGGUUGCUGGAACACCAGGUGACUCCAGUGAGUUGCAUAACGCAACAGUUCUGUUAUCAAUUGAACCAUUAGAUACCAGGGAAAACACAGUGUAGAUUGAUUUUUUAUUCUUAGUAUUUCACAAGCCUUCUGUCGUUGUGUCAGCUGCCAUACCCUUGAACCAAUUGUGGGUAUCUAAUGUUGACAAUUCAGGGGAGCAGAAACAGAGCUUUCUAAUUCUGAUUCAUUUGAAAUGUACAAAUUGGAGAGUUUGACAAUUAAAAUCAUUCUUCCCUUAGGUGAUGGAUAUAUAGGAAGAAGGCCCUUUUCGUCAUCGUGUAAGUUAAGGUGUUGGUGCAACAUGGCUUCCCAUUUGCUGCUUUGUACACCUGUCUCUGUUUGGUGCCCUGAUUGCAUGAUCUUUUGGUGUUGGGAGCCCACCCGCGAGUGAAUCCUUGAAUCUGGGACACAUGCCGGAGUUUUAAAGUGAACUCUUCCUCCCUUCAGUUUGGUUGUUUUUUCAACCAGGGUUGAAUGUAAAUUCAGUUUCACCAAAAAAGGAAAAAAAAAAAAAGAUGUGAAUUCAGUGGAUGGGGAGUCAAGACGUAGAGUUGAUUAAAGAAAAUGUUGGAGGAUAUUUUAAAGUGGAUGAUUCUACAUCCACAUGGAGUUUUAAUCCAUUCACUUGUAUGCACAGCAACAGCAUGACCCAGCAGCAAGCUCUUAGUGGAGAGGAAGAGAUGAAAGAAGUAACUUGACAUGUUUGUCAAGUUUGAUUCACCUCAGUCGAGUAAGGGUUGCCUGUUAUUGGAAUUGAUGGUGUCUGGCUUCCUGAACUGCUAAAGUAGUGUGGGUCCUUUUAAACUCAUAUACCAUUGUGUUUUGGAGACCCUUUACAGAAAUUGAUUGAGCCCUCUUAGAGAUAUAGUCUUUAGAAGCCAGUAUGAAGGCUUUGCUGAUGUCUUUGUCCAACCCUCUGGAGUCAAAUUGCCAUGAACAUGUUGAAACAAAGUGUAAUGCUUAGAGACGACGGUGAAUAACAUCUGUGGUUUACUUAAAAACACCUGAGAUACAUAUCAACUGUAGCGACCAAACGUUCAGAAAUAGGGAUAUCGAGGACCAAAACCUGUCUGAAGAAUUGGAGCUCUUGAGCUGCUGCAAAUGAUUCAAAUUCAGGCAAUGGAAACCCGACUUGCGGCACAGGGAGCUGAUGUGGAUACUGAAAAACUAUGUUGCUCGGCAUGCAUAUGGCGCGCAGUUCAUAAGGUGUUUGAAGUGGUACCUUCUAAAUUUCUCUGACCUUCGAUGCUUGCUCUUCUGUGUGACUGACUUUUGUUGAUCUAGGUCCAGUCAAGAGUUGUCUUCCACUUGUGCAAGGUAAAACACUGGAUGGUUUAGGAAUGGAUGUGAACAAUUGGGAGUUUUUUA